rnacentral:rRNA from 1 species
UACGAAGGGGGCUAGCGUUGCUCGGAAUCACUGGGCGUAAAGGGUGCGUAGGCGGCUUGAUAAGUCCGUGGUGAAAGCCAACAGCUCAACUGUUGAACUGCCAUGGAUACUGUCAGGCUUGAGUACAGACGAGGUAGGCGGAAUGGAUCGUGUAGCGGUGAAAUGCAUAGAUACGAUCCAGAACUCCGAUUGCGAAGGCAGCUUACUAGGCUGUAACUGACGCUGAGGCACGAAAGCGUGGGGAGCGAACAGG